CCAGCUCUGUGGGGGAGCGGGUCCGCCAUUACUAAGGCAGUCCACCCCUACCGAGGGGAGGCAGCCCGCCAUUAUAGAGGUGGGCCGCCAUUGCUGAGGCAGCCGGCUGUUUCGGAGGCAGCCCGCCAUUAUAGAGUGAAAGAACCCACCUUGAGCAGAGAAGCAGCCAAGACUUUGAGCUUGACCCAUGACUGUCGACAGAGGCAGGUGGGUUCAACUCCCACGAGCACCUGUGGUCACUCACAAAUGGUAUCAGCCCAAGUGGCUCAAAGGCUGGGGGAUGAGUCUGAAGCCAUAUUCACUCACACGCCUGGUGCUUGAUGCAGACUAUCAGUUGAGACCUUAGCUGGGGCUGAAAACACAGACACACAGCCUCUUUGUGUAUGCUGGGCUCCCUCAUGACAUGAUGGCUGAGCUCCAAGGGCAAAUGUCUGAACAGAAGAAGAGCCAAGUACAAGCCAUAUCACCUUUUAUGACCUAGCCUCAGAAGCCACCUGGUGUUACUUCCUCUACAAUCUAUUCAUCAAGGCAGUCACAAAUGUCCUCCCAAGUUCACAGCAAGAGGAAAUAAACUUCAACUCUUUUUUUUUUUUUUUUGAGUUGGAGUCUCUCUCUGUCACCCAGGCUGGAGUGCAGUGGCAGGAUCUCGGCUCACUGCAACUUCCACCUCCUGAGUUCAAGCAAUUCUCCUGCCUCAGCCUCCCAAGUAGCUGGGAUUACAAGUACCCAUCACCUAGCUAAUUUUUUGUAUUUUUAGUAGAGAUGGGGUUUCACCAUGUUGGCCAGGCUGAUCUUGAACUCCUGACCUCAGGCAAUCCACCUGCCUUGGCCUCCCAAAGUGCUGGAAUGGCUACAGGCGUGAGCCAUUCUUGAUGAGGGAGUAGCAAGUUUCUGGCAAUGUGGGAUCAGAGAUACGAUUGUACUGUGUAUUUUACUUUCUGUAUCUUGAUGCUUUGACAUCUGGGGCCUUGCAGACUCUGAAAGGACUACUCCCUCCAGAAUUAACCAAUUCCUAGAGACAAGAAAGCAGCUCAAGUUCUAACUCCCCAGGACAGAAUUCAAGACCCCUCCAAUCAGGCCUCAGUCUAACUUGCUAACUUCCCCCUCUCUGGCCCCUCUACAAACUGCUCCAACGGUUUGCCCAGUUGCCCAUUCUCCAAAGAUACCUUGCAAUUACUCUUUACUGGAUCUCUUGUUCACAUUUCAAAGUCCAACCUGAGCCCUAGCUCCUCCAUGCUGCUCCAUGCUGCUCCGUGCUCCUCCAUGCUCCUCCAUGCUCCUCCAUGCUGCUCCGUGCUCCUCCAUGAAGCCAUUCCCAUUCACAGGGAUGCAUGUCCUUUCUGAACCCUGUCUCACAGCAUUCAUUCUCCGCACCGGUCCCUUUAUUGCUUGGUUAUACAACAGAUCUACCUAUGCUGUUAAUUAGAUUCUGCAGAUUAAAGCUCUAAGGAACUCUAAGAGAUUAUUUUGUUC